rnacentral:rRNA from 1 species
GUUACUAAGCAACAACUGACGCUGAUGGACGAAAGCGUGGGGAGCGAACAGGAUUAGANNCCNUGGUANNCCACGCNNUAAACGAUGCUAACUCGUUUUUGGAAUGUAAGUUUCAGAGACUAAGCGAAAGUGAUAAGUUAGCCACCUGGGGAGUACGAACGCAAGUUUGAAACUCAAAGGAAUUGACGGGGGCCCGCACAAGCGGUGGAUUAUGUGGUUUAAUUCGAUGAUACGCGAGGAACCUUACCAAGGCUUAAAUGGGAAAUGACAGGUUUGGAAAUAGACUUUUCUUCGGACAUUUUUCAAGGUGCUGCAUGGUUGUCGUCAGCUCGUGCCGUGAGGUGUUAGGUUAAGUCCUGCAACGAGCGCAACCCCUGUCACUAGUUGCCAUCAUUAAGUUGGGGACUCUAGUGAGACUGCCUACGCAAGUAGAGAGGAAGGUGGGGAUGACGUCAAAUCAUCACGGCCCUUACGCCUUGGGCCACACACGUAAUACAAUGGCCGGUACAGAGGGCAGCUACACUGCGAAGUGAUGCAAAUCUCGAAAGCCGGUCUCAGUUCGGAUUGGAGUCUGCAACUCGACUCUAUGAAGCUGGAAUCGCUAGUAAUCGCGCAUCAGCCAUGGCGCGGUGAAUACGUUCCCGGGCCUUGUACACACCGCCCGUCAAGCCAUGGAAGUCUGGGGUACCUGAAGUCGGUGACCGUAACAGGAGCUGCCUAGGGUAAAACAGGUAACUAGGGCU